GAUGAAGAACGUAGCAAAAUGCGAUACUUGGUGUGAAUUGCAGAAUCCCGUGAACCAUCGAGUUUUGAACGCAAGUUGCGCCCGAAGCCUUUUGGCCGAGGGCACGUCUGCCUGGGCGUCACGCAUCGCGUCGCCCCCCACAAUUCUCCGUAAAGGGAACGUGUGUUUUGGGGGCGGAUAUUGGUCUCCCGUGCUCAUGGCGUGGUUGGCCGAAAUAGGAGUCCUUUCGAUGGACGCACGAACUAGUGGUGGUCGUAAAAACCCUCGUCUUUUGUUUCGUGCUGUUGCUCGCAAGGUAAACUCUUUAAAAACCCCAAUGUGUCGUCUCUUGACGACGCUUCGACCGCGACCCCAGGUCAGGCGGGACUACCCGCUGAGUUUAAGCAUAUCAAUAAGCGGAGGA
rnacentral:misc_RNA from 1 species